GGUGGCCCAACAGCGGCGGGGAAACACCCGUUCCCAUCCCGAACACGGCCGUUAAGCCCGCCCGCGCCGAUGGUAGUGGGCUCGUGAGGGCCCGCAAGAGUAGGUCGCCGCCUG
rnacentral:rRNA from 1 species